UUUCAUUUUUACGGUUUUUUCACCAUGAAAAUUGCAGUGUGCUUCUUAGAAAAGAGCAUGUAAGAGAUCCUUAAGCCAAUUCUUAUCAUUGUUCAUGACGGAAGAAGGACUUCACCCUACGUUCUGCUACGUCCUUAUCUUCCCGACGUACGCUCAUCCAGCUUCACUGCUUCAGUGCUUCUUAUGCUGCAAAACAAUUUUUCUUGCUUCACUGGCGAGUUGGAUCACUUCAGUUGCUGUGACACACCUGUAGUCACUCACCACGGGAUUAUGGCCAGGUAAUGCAGAGGAAACGUCGAGAAGAUGGACACUAAAACGUCGCCGGUGUCUCCAAAAAGUCAGCGCGGAUCAUCAUUUGUUGUUGGUAAUAUGUUUGUGUUAGUUAACCCGUUGUCUGCCACGCCUUUGUUUUCCCCUAGCUCCUUAGCACGGGCCGCGCU